rnacentral:rRNA from 1 species
CAAUAGCGUAUAUUAAAGUUGUUGCAGUUAAAAAGCUCGUAGUUGAAUUUCUGGUGGGCGCGCCGGUCUUCCAAGUGUUGUACUGGGCGCAGUCCGCCAUCCUUGUGGAGAGGGCUCGCAUUGAGUUGUGUGUCGGAUCUGCAUCAUUUACUGUGAAAAAAUUAGAGUGUUUAAAGCAGGCUGUCGCUUGAAUACAUUAGCAUGGAAUAAUAAGAUAGGACUUCGGUCUAUUUUGUUGGUUGCGAACCGAGGUAAUGAUUAAUAGGGAUAGUUGGGGGUAUUCAUAUUUAAUUGUCAGAGGUGAAAUUCUUGGAUUUAUGAAAGAUGAACAACUGCGAAAGCAUUUACCAAGGAUGUUUNCAUUAA